rnacentral:tRNA from 1 species
GUCGGGGUAACACAGCGGCUUAUGUGGCGGACUGCAGAUCCGCAUACGGGAGUUCAACUCUCCCUCCCGACUCCA